UACGGAGGGAGCUAGCGUUGUUCGGAAUUACUGGGCGUAAAGCGCACGUAGGCGGCUAUUCAAGUCGGGGUGAAAGCCCGGGGCUCAACCCCGGAACUGCCCUCGAAACUAGGUAGCUAGAAUCUUGGAGAGGCGAGUGGAAUUCCGAGUGUAGAGGUGAAAUUCGUAGAUAUUCGGAAGAACACCAGUGGCGAAGGCGACUCGCUGGACAAGUAUUGACGCUGAGGUGCGAAAGCGUGGGGAGCAAACAGGG
rnacentral:rRNA from 1 species